UACGGUGGGGGCAAGCGUUGUUCGGAAUUACUGGGCGUAAAGGGCUCGUAGGCGGCCAACUAAGUCCGACGUGAAAUCCCCAGGCUUAACCUGGGAACUGCGUCUGAUACUGGAUGGCUUGAAUCCGGGAGAGGGAUGCGGAAUUCCAGGUGUAGCGGUGAAAUGCGUAGAUAUCUGGAGGAACACCGAUGGCGAAGGCAGGUCUCUGGGCCGAUACUGACGCUGAGGAGCGAAAGCGUGGGGAGCGAACAGG
rnacentral:rRNA from 1 species